rnacentral:rRNA from 6 species
UUUGACCUCGAAUCAGGUAGGAUUACCCGCUGAACUUAAGCAU